rnacentral:rRNA from 1 species
UCGGGAAUUUUGCCCAAUGGACGAAAGUCUGAGGCAGCAACUCCGCGUGAGGGAUGAAGGCUCUCGGGUCGUAAACCUCUUUUCUCAGGGAAGAUACAAGACGGUACCUGAGGAAUAAGCCACGGCUAACUACGUGCCAGCAGCCGCGGUAAUACGUAGGUGGCAAGCGUUGUCCGGAUUUACUGGGCGUAAAGAGCGCGCAGGCGGCUGGCCAAGUCCGAUGUGAAAGCUCCCGGCUCAACUGGGAAACUGCAUCGGAAACUGGUCGGCUUGAAGGUGGGAGAGGGUAGCGGAAUUCCCGGUGUAGUGGUGAAAUGCGUAGAUAUCGGGAGGAACACCAGUGGCGAAGGCGGCUACCUGGCCCAUUCUUGACGCUGAGGCGCGAAAGCUAGGGGAGCGAACGGGAUUAGAUACCCCGGUAGUCCUAGCCGUAAACGAUGAACACUAGGCGUUGUCGGUAUCGACCCCGGCAGUGCCGAAGCCAACGCAUUAAGUGUUCCGCCUGGGGAGUACGGCCGCAAGGCUAAAAC